rnacentral:piRNA from 1 species
UUAGACAGGGUAUUGCACACCUUUGGCCUA